UCCAGAGGUCUCAAGCGUUGUUCGGAUUCAUUGGGCGUAAAGGGUGUGUAGGUGGCGCGCUAAGUCGGGUGUGAAAUUUCGGAGCUUAACUCCGAAACUGCAUUCGAUACUGGCGUGCUUGAGGACUGGAGAGGAGACUGGAAUUCAUGGUGUAGCAGUGAAAUGCGUAGAGAUCAUGAGGAAGACCAGUGGCGAAGGCGGGUCUCUGGACAGUUCCUGACACUGAGACACGAAGGCCAGGGGAGCAAACGGG
rnacentral:rRNA from 1 species